UGAGUAACGCAUGAGCAACCUGCCUAGUACAACGGGAUAACACAGAGAAAUUUGUGCUAAUACCGUAUAAGACCACACAAGCGCAUGCUUGAGGGGUCAAAGUGAUUUAGCGGUACUAGAUGGGCUCAUGUCCCAUUAGCUAGUUGGUGAGAUAACAGCUCACCAAGGCGACGAUGGGUAGCCGGCCUGAGAGGGUGAACGGCCACACUGGAACUGAGACACGGUCCAGACUCCUACGGGAGGCAGCAGUGGGGAAUAUUGGGCAAUGGAGGAAACUCUUACCCAGCAAUGCCGCGUGAGUGAAGAAGGUCUUCGGAUUGUAAAGCUCUUUGAUUAGGGACGAAUAAAUGACGGUACCUAAAGAACAAGCCCCGGCUAACUACGUGCCAGCAGCCGCGGUAAUACGUAGGGGGCAAGCGUUGUCCGGAAUGACUGGGCGUAAAGGGUGAGUAGGCGGUUUAUCAAGUUAGAAGUGAA
rnacentral:rRNA from 1 species